UCGAGGCAACUCUUAGCAUAGCUUCACUUUAUUACAAGUCCAUGGUCACCAUUUUUAAACACCUGUAAAAAGAUUAAAUGGUACUUUCAAUAACAUGUGUCAACAAAUUUUUAAUGCAUUUGUUGUUUUUCAUCUAAAGAUCUAAAUCCUUUGAAUCCUGCUAUACCUAUUUAAACAUAAGACUGUUGUGGGAGUUUCCUGCUGGCUCAUCAGGUUAAGGAUCCAGCGUUGUCACUGCCGUGGUAUGGGUUCAAUUCUGGCUCUGGGCAUGGCCACCAAAUAAAUAAAUAAAUAGGAGUUCCCGUCAUGGCGCAGCAGCAACGAAUCCAAAUAAGAACCAUGAAAUUAUGGGUUCGAGCCUUUGCCUUGCUCAAUGGGUUAAGGAUCUGGCAUUGCUGUGAGCUGUGGUGUAGGCUGCAGACACGACUCGGAUCCUGUGUUGCUGAGGCUGUGGUGUAGGCCAGCAGCUGUAGCUCCUAUUAGACCCCUAGCCUAGGAGCCUCCCUAUGCUAUGGGUGCGGCUCUAAAAAAAACAAAUAAAUAAAUAAAUGAAUAGACUGUUGUGCCUUCAAUCUGUUCAUCUAUAUUAUUCUAAGUAAAAAAUCCAAACCACACACCAGGUUUAAUCUUAAAACUUAAAGUUCCUUUGUUCAGAAAGUAAUUAUUAUCCAAACAUUUUGUUUUUAACAUGUGCUGAUUAAUCGUUUUUAUUUUUGACCACGCUGUGCAGCAGCUUGAUGUGGAAUCUCAGUUCUCAGACCAGGAAUUGAACCCGGGCUACAGAAGCAACCUGUCUGCUGCAGUGACAACACCAGAUCCUUAACCUGCUGGGUCACAAGAGAACUCCACCUCUGCCUUGGCCUUGAUCUCUGCACCCUCAUCUCGCUUAAUCCAGAAGAUUUCUUAAAAAAAAAAAAAAAUGUAUAUUUCAUGCGGAGUUUAGACACAACGCAGAUGCAUGGCUUGUGUUGGCACAGUUGCUAAAUUGUGAGUCCCUGGGGACAGCCUUCCACCCGCCUCCCACCCAGAGUCUGUCUGGGGCAGACAGGGGCUCCAGUGUGGAACAGAGUUACUGGUUUAUGUAACAUGUAAUUGGCAUGUCGCUUCACUUUCAGCCAAAGCUAAGCCCCAGUCCAUCAGCACUAAAGUUUAGCACUUAUGCUUCUCGUGAGUGACGGCUCUGACCCUAGCACUAAAAUUGCUCCAAGCCCUUUAGGAGAAGUGGGGGGCACCCGCCAUUAGCAUCCAGGUGGUGGAGAAAGGGACGACAUUAGAGGGGACUCAUGUCUAAUGAGACCCUGCCAUGGGGAGAGCACAUCUAUGCCUUAUUUAUAGCUCAAAUCAACUCCAUGAAAGAGUUAUUAUUGCCCCCCUUUUUUUCUUUUCAGGGCCAAACCUGCGGCAUAUGGAAGUUCCCAGGCUAGGGAUUGAAUCAGAGCUGCAGCUGCUGGCCUACACCACAGCCACAGCAACACUGGAUCCAAGAAGCAUCUUUAUCCAGAUCCAAGCCACAACUGCGACGUACGCCACAGCUUGCAGCAAUGCCAGAUCCUUAACCCACUGAGCGAGGCCUGGGAUUGAACCUGAUUUCUCACGGGUUCUUUCUGUGUACAGCAACUGCUGUGCAGCACAGGGAAUUCUAUAUCUAAUCACUUGUGAUGGAGCAUGAUGGAGGAUAACUCGAGAAAAAGAACGUGUGUGUGUGUGUGUGUGUGUGUGUGUGUGUUUGUGUAUGUAUGACUGGGUCACUGUGCUGUACAGAAGAAAUUGACAGAACACUGUAAACCAACUAUAAUGCAAAAUUUUUUUUGAAAUCCCUCUCCCCAAAUAUUUGUAAUGCUGCAUAAUAAUGUGAUUCUAAACUGCCAGGGACUUUGAAGAAAUUCUGAAAUUCCUUGAGCACCACUCUUGGCCCACCCCACACAUACCAGAGCUUCUGCCUUUAAGUACAUUUUGCAAGGAAAACUCACUGAGUUCGAACUAGGGCCUUUGAGAGCUUCCCGCCAGGUUGGUGUCCACGGAGGACUGAUCUGAGUCUCCAGGAAGAAAGCACUUGCCCCAGCCAGGGAGGGGGGCAUGGGACCUGGCACUCCAUCUUGGGACACCUGAAAACCACACUGCCACUGAUGCUCAGGUUGACAUGAACUUGCUCUGUGUGGCCAUGGGCUCAGGAGGGUUUUAUAACUGAAGUUCCCAGGCUAGGGAUCGAAUAGACUGGUAACGGUCUAGUAACUGGAGCUGCAGCUGCCAGCCUACACCACAGCCACAGCAACGCUGGAUCCUGAACCCACUGAGUGAGGCAGGAGAUCGAACGUGUCCUCAUGGAUCCUAGACAGGUUCAUUAGCGCUGAGCUAGGACAGGAAUUCCCAUGGAUCAUUUUUAAGUGUUUGCUCCUUUUGCCGACGUGCCAAACAUUAGACAUUCUAAAUACACUUAAUUAAUAAUUAAUGAUGUCCCUGAGCUCCCUCUGCUGGCUCUGCCCCAGCCAGCUCCUGCAGAGGAUGAUUCUGCUGCUAUUUCUUCCGAGAAGAGAGAGCAAUGCAUAAUCCACAAACCGAGGUGAUGGGGCAGAGGAUGUUUCAAAAGUAGCUAGAGAAGAUCCUGCCAUGGCUCAGCGAGUGGAGAGCCCGACUAGUAUCCGUAAGGACACGUGUUUGAUCCCUGGCCUUGCUCAGUGGGUGAAGCAUCUGGCGUUGUCGUGAGCUCUGUGGUACAGAUUACAACUGCAUAUGGGUUCGCUCCCUGGCCAGGAACUUCCACAUGCCAUGGGUGUGACAAAAAAAAAAAAANCACACAUACACACACACAGGGAAACAAAAAGGGAUGAGAAAAACUAAGAACAAGGAAAGAAAGGUACCUCCUUGGCGGAGUGACACGGUUGCUAUGACGACAUGGAUACUGACUCAGAGAGCCUGGUGACCCUCAGGGUCUGCCAAGUCACUGCCCAUGGCACUGCCCCUGCAGUGUGCUGUGCCCUCCCCUGGGGAGGGAGGUGACAAAUGGCUGGCUGAGUGCAGGGUCUCCCCACAGAAGUGCUCAGCGCUGGGAGUGGGGAUUGUAUGGCAUAAAAGAUACACUGGAGGGGAGAGCAAUAUAAGGAAAUGUUAAGAGUCAGGCCAGGGCUUGCACCCACCCUCUGUCCUGCGCACAGUAAGGCAGCAGACCAGCAACACCGGGGAAAACAAAGAUGCAUGGUCUACCUAACAGUUAUUGCAACUCCACUAUGAGGGAGUUCCCGCUGGGGCACAGUGGGUUAAGAAUCUAACUUCAGUGGCUUGGGUCGCCACAGAGAUACAAGCUCAAUCCCCAACCCUGCGCAGUGAGUUCAAAGGAUCCAGCAUUGCCGCAGCUGCAGCAUAGGUCACAGACGCAGCUCAGAUUCAAUCCCUGGCCCAGGACUGAAUGCGGCAUGCCACAUGCCACAGGUGCAGCUCUUUAAACAAACAAACAAAUAAGCAAACGAACAAAACUCUACUACGUGGCAGCAUCUUAUGUGCAAUCCGCUCUAUUAACUCUCCCAACAGUCCUGGGAGGUGGGAAUAUUAUAUCCAUUUUGCAACUGAAGACACCAGAAAAACAGCUGAUGGACUUGCCAGGUUGACCCAGAAAGUAAGUGGCAGAGCUGGAAAGAGAGACCAAGGGCAUCUAACUCAGAGCCCACGGCGACUUUAGGGGCUGAGAGGCCAGCUAAGAGCGGCUGAAGUCCCAGCUGGUUCCCAAAGAGUGGAACUGGACACAAGACAUCUCUGUUGGGAAGUGUCUACUCCGCCUCUCAGAACCAGUAAUUAUACACCCAGUGAGGGUGGCGGCUUGUUGUGGGUGUUGGCUCUCAAACCGUAGGCAGCAGAAGAGCUAGGACUUGUCCUGUGGUCUCAGUAUAGUCCCCUGGGCUGGCAACCAGGGCUGUGCAGUGUGCUGAACACACCCAACUGGUUGCCUCCUGUUUGGCUCAACUGUCUUUUUAGGCUGAGCUCUUUGUAAAAACAAAUAAAACAUCCCUCUACAGGGCUACAUGACCUCACAAAAACUCAGCCUCCAAACUCUGCAUCUGCUUCUCUCAGAAGCUUUUUCUCUUUCAGCUUCCCUGGGAAUCUUGGCUACACCAAGGAGGGAAAAAAAAAAAAUGGAAGAGAUAGAAGAUCAAUAUCUUUAUGCUUAAGUGUAGAAUUAAUCCAUAUUUCACUCUUAAGGUCUGGAGUUUGGAAAGAGUGGCUGGGAUUUGUUACAUAAGUGAUUGCAGCUUGUUCUGAAGAUAAGGCGAUUCUGAAUCGGUAACCAGGCUGGACCGUCCACCUCAGGGAGAGGCCUGGCUAUUGUUCAGGGUUUGCUUUGGACUUCACUUCCUGGAGUAAAAGGUCGUUGCGAUCCAACACGUGAACAGGAAGUGGGCAGGGCUUGCCACCCUGCCUGGUGGUUCACAAAAGAAGAAACACAGAGAAGUCAUAACCUCUGCGGUUUAGUGUGUGUUGCAACAUGAAAACCCGGAAGAUUAUCUUAGAGGAGGCUGAUUUGUCAAAGUUGGCAAUGAAGUGGAGCCUUUACUGUGGGAGUCUUAGGAGGGGAGCCAGCCUUUGUCCUCCCGAGAAGCUCCCAGGUCUUGGAAGCGGAUAAAACCAUAACCCUUUGGAACAAGUCCCCAAAAUGUAGCUCUGUCAUCAGAAUGGGAUGGUCAGAAGGGUGUUUAUAAGAAUGCAAUUUGAUUUUUUUUUUAAAGUUUGAUAUUCUUUAAAAAUGAACAGCCCUCCCUGUGGUUUGACUUGAGUAACAAGUGCAUGUGUGGUGAUGGGAGGUGGAGGAGACAUGGGUGCCCUGUCCCUCCCACCAAUGGGGUCUCAGGGCAUUUCAUUGGAUCAAGCCAACCUGCCUGUUUAAGCCUGUGAAUCUGCCUGAUCUUGAAAAUCUUCCAGGUGGUCUCACAGGUGGUGAACUGCCACAUGGAUUAGUGCUGACCCAAAUGCUAGUACUGCUUACAAGCUGGCCAGGAAAACUUUUUUUUACUGGAAAAUUCCUUGAGAAGAGACCACAGAGUUUCAGUGAGGAUAUGCCAGUUAAGGAUAGGAAGUUGCUGUUGUGCCUCAGCAGGUUACGAAGCCAACUAGUAUCCAGGAGGAAUCGGGUUUGAUCCCUGGCCUCACUCAGUGGGUUAAGGAUCUUGUGUAGCUGGCAGCUGUAGCUCCAAUUCAGCCCCUAGCCUGGGGAACUUCCAUAUGCUGUGGGUGUAGCCCUAAACAGCCACAAAAAAAAAAAAAAGGGAAUAUGCAAUUUAAUAAAACAGGACAUCCUGAUGGAGCCACAAGAAGACAUACUCCCUGACAGGCACAUCAAAGGCAUCCCAAGGAUACAGGCAGGGUGAACCUCACUGGCUCCCACAGUUUUGGGGAGCAUCAAAAGGGAGAGAAACCUGCCUCCCAGCAGCUCUCGGCCAUCUGCCACACCUGGCUCAGUAGGUAAAUAAGAUUGGAAAAGCAAGACUGGGAGUGGCUCUACCACGCUUAUCUGAGGAAACGUCUGAGUGUCAUCUGUCAAGAGAGUUCUUCCCAAGUUUUUUAUCAUUCUUAAAGAUUAGACACCUUUAAUUUCCAAGUGCACCCCAAAGGUAAACUGUGAUGCUGAUGGUCCCUGUGAGAAGCCCUCCACAAGCUGGUGCCCUUGAAGGAGACAGAGGCUGUGUCACCUGUCCAGACUGUGGUGUCCCCAGGGUGCAUAGCAGAGUCACUUUGAUCUUAAUUACCAUUUCAAAUAUAAUUUUGGAUUUUAAUAUAAAUACCCGGCUCCCAGGACAGGGCGUUAGCCCAGGAAAACCCAGGAGGUGGAGGUCUCAGGGGCUGGGGGCUGGCUGGCCUCUGAGGGCCACACAGAGGCCUCCAGGGAGCCAGGGACAUGGCCCACCUCUGCCCAGCCAGCCCAGAUGUUUCCCGGAAACUCCCUCCUGGCUUUGGCAUGCCUGGCUCUGUUUGGUUUCUGAGAACAAAGAGAAAAGCUGUGUAGGGGGCCAGGCCUGAGACACAUGGGAAAGCCAUUGCCGGCUCAGCUGGCAGAUAUAAACACACACCAGCCCUGAAGCUCCAGGAAGACGGUGCAGUUUUGCACGGAGCAGAGGGAAUAUUUUGAUAUGGGAGGAGGGGCUGUGCCUGCAGAAACCCUUUGGGUUCCCAAUCUUUGGGUUAUAACCCAAGGGACCUGGGGGUAGUGUGGGAGUGGGGGCCUCUGGGUGUUGGGGAGCUGGGGAGCAGGGGGCUCUCUGCAUCAGGGUUUCUUUCUCUUCCCUAGAGGCCCCUCUUUGGGCCCAGGCUCCUGCUUGGACAGCACACCUGGGUGGGUCACAGGCACAGGCACUGUCGAGCAGUGCUGCCCUAGGAAGGGCAGCUUGCCAAGGAGUUCCUGAAGUGUCUGGGAAAAGGCCCCUUCCCUGGGGCAGCAUUUGCCCGUGUAAUUAAAACACUGCAUUUCAAAGACACUUCUAAUGAUGCAAAAUGUGGUUGCCAGAAAGAAAAUGACACACUUGGCACCCCUGGGACUCUGCACGGACAGUUCACCCAAGGCCUGGCGCCGUGAGCCCGCAGUAAAGGUUACACCCACUUCAGGACGAGGGACAAGAGGACUUCAGGGGUGGCUGGCAGACUGUGCCGAUGAUCACUUGUUCAGCACAACGCCUCCGGCACGCUGCAGUGUGCACACCUGGGCCAGAGCCUGGCCACACCCCGGGGGGAGGGACAAUGGGGCCCAGAGGGGUCCCUCCAAGUCAGACCCAGCAAGUGGGAGGAGGGCACCCCAGAAAACAGCCCCAUAAAGGGAGGGGGCCAGAACUGAACUUGGAAAGGCUCCUGUUGUCCUUGGUAUUCCCCUCUGCCCUCUCUCCUCUCCCUCCUGCCCUGUCACCAGGAAGGGCGACAUUUCCAUACUACCCCGCUGAGUCGGCUCCAGUGGGACCCUAAUCCCUGUCCUCCUGGAACCCAGUCUCCCAGGAGUUGUGAGGCAGCUCCCCUCCCCUCCCUCCAAAGCUGCCCUCCGGGCUGGCCUUGACCUCUGGCCCCACAGUAGGGUCUAGUCCAGAAUUGAGCAACGGUGAAGGGGCCGACAGUCAUGCUGGUCAGUCUGUCCUUCUGUCCCUUCCCAUCCAAGGAUUCCAAACAGUCGCCACUAUAAUGGGGCUUCUUCCCAGAACGGCCAGUUUUCACAGCAUCACCAGAUGGUCUGAUUUCAUUUUAUUUUCCUGGCAGAAUUAGACUUGGUUCUGGAAUCGUGAUGGAUUUUAGUCAAGGUUCUAUUGACCAAAAGCAUCUCUUUGGGAUCAGGAGAACUUUGGAAACCUGCAGGGUUCCAGGAAAACAUUCAGCCGUCUUAGACACACCUCUGUACGUGUCUCUGGACUUUUCAUCUAACUGAAGCACAGCGAAGGUUUAUGCCUUGAACCAAGCACACAGCAGAGAGGUUUCUGUGAAGCUGGCCUGGUUAAGAGUCUUGCAAUUCUCCCAGAAGCUUAUUCUCGUGGUGUAAAUUCGACUCAUUUCUCACAGCUCUCUGUUCUCAAAAGCCUCUCAUUCUCCCGCACUCAGGCUCAGCAUUUGGCUAUAAUCCCACAGGAUGAUAAACAGGUGGAGGGCACUGCAUCCUGCUCCCUCAGGGUCUGGCCCCUCUGCGGCCCAGAUCACAGGUUGGCAGUCAGGGCUUGGCUUCUUUUUUUGUGGAAGUUCCCGGGCCAGGGGUCGAACCCCCACCACAGCAGUAAUCAGAAACACAGCAGUGACAACGCUGGAUCCCUAACCCACUGAGCCACUAGGGAACUCCAGGUCUUGGCUUCUUUUCCUUCCCAGCCCCUACCUUCUGUCCUGGCCCUGCCAGAGAUUUAGAAAAAGCUCAAUCCAGAGUUCCAGUCGUGGCCCAACAGGUUAAGAACCUGACUAAUAGCCAUGAGGAUGUGGGCCCCGCUCAGUGGGUUAAGGAUCUGGUGUUGCCAUGAGCUGUGGAGUAGGUCAAAGAUGCAGCUCAGAUCCGGAGUUGCUGUGGCUGUGGUGUAGGCCUGCAGCUGCAGCUCCAGUUCAACACCUAGCCUAGGAACUUCCAUAUGCCAUGGGCGUGGCCCUAAAAAGCAAAAAAAAAAAAAAAAAAAAAAAAA
rnacentral:lncRNA from 1 species